rnacentral:tRNA from 1 species
GGGGAUUUAGCUCAGUUGGUAGAGUGCUUGCCUUGCAUGCACAAGGCCCUGGGUUCAAUCCCCA